rnacentral:rRNA from 1 species
UACGUAGGGCGCAAGCGUUGUCCGGAAUUAUUGGGCGUAAAGAGCUCGUAGGUGGCUUGUCGCGUCUGCCGUGAAAGCCCAUGGCUUAACUGUGGAACGGCUGGGCAUACUGGCGGUCUUGAGCCAUCUAGGGGCGACUGGAACAAACGGUGGAGCGGUGAAAUGCGUAGAUAUCGUUUGGAACGCCAAUGGUGAAAACAGGUCGCUGGGGAUGAGCUGACGCUGAGACACGAAAGCCAGGGGAGCAAACGGG